GAGGAAAGUCCGUGCUAGCACAAUCUGAGACGAUUGUAGUGUUGAUGCAGACAUAUAAAAAAUAAAGUCUGGCGCGAAAGCGACGGCGAAUUUAAGAAUACCGUUAAUAAUAACCAAUACCUUAAAUUCAUAAAGUGCCACAGAGACGAGCUAUAUGGAAACAUAUAAUGUGAAACGAGGCAAACCCCUUCAGGAAGAAACCUAAAUUUCGGUAAGGGA
rnacentral:RNase_P_RNA from 1 species